GGGGCCGGCGAUGCGUCCUGG
rnacentral:siRNA from 1 species